UCGAGAAUCUUCGGCAAUGGGCGCAAGCCUGACCGAGCGACGCCGCGUGGAGGACGAAGGCCUUCGGGUUGUAAACUCCUGUCGAGGGGGAUGAAGGGCCGGCGCAGAGCCGGUCUUGACAGAUCCCUGGAGGAAGCACGGGCUAAGUUCGUGCCAGCAGCCGCGGUAAGACGAACCGUGCGAACGUUAUUCGGAAUCACUGGGCUUAAAGCGCGUGUAGGCGGAUGGGUGCGUCAGUCGCUUAAAUCCCCCGGCUCAACCGGGGAACUGGCGCUGAUACGGCCCGUCUGGAGGGAAGUAGGGGGACCUGGAACUUCCGGUGGAGCGGUGAAAUGCGUUGAGAUCGGAAGGAACGCCCGUGGCGAAAGCGAGGUCCUGGGCUUUUUCUGACGCUGAGACGCGAAAGCUAGGGGAGCAAACGGG
rnacentral:rRNA from 1 species